UUUUCAUAUUCAAAAAGCGGAGGAAAAGAAACCAACAGGGAUUGCCUCAGUAGCGGCGAGUGAAGCGGCAAGAGCUCAGAUUUGAAAUCGUGCUUUGCGGCACGAGUUGUAGAUUGCAGGUUGGAGUCUGUGUGGAAGGCGGUGUCCAAGUCCCUUGGAACAGGGCGCCCAGGAGGGUGAGAGCCCCGUGGGAUGCCGGCGGAAGCAGUGAGGCCCUUCUGACGAGUCGAGUUGUUUGGGAAUGCAGCUCCAAGCGGGUGGUAAAUUCCAUCUAAGGCUAAAUACUGGCGAGAGACCGAUAGCGAACAAGUACUGUGAAGGAAAGAUGAAAAGCACUUUGAAAAGAGAGUGAAACAGCACGUGAAAUUGUUGAAAGGGAAGGGUAUUGCGCCCGACAUGGGGAUUGCGCACCGCUGCCUCUCGUGGGCGGCGCUCUGGGCUUUCCCUGGGCCAGCAUCGGUUCUUGCUGCAGGAGAAGGGGUUCUGGAACGUGGCUCUUCGGAGUGUUAUAGCCAGGGCCAGAUGCUGCGUGCGGGGACCGAGGACUGCGGCCGUGUAGGUCACGGAUGCUGGCAGAACGGCGCAACACCGCCCGUCUUGAAACCACGGACA
rnacentral:rRNA from 1 species